ensembl:ncRNA W01C8.9 ncRNA
CUUGAAAAGCUUAAUUGAAGACCACCCUCAUAAGCAAUAAAUGUUGUGCUGGCUCCAGCACAAAUGUGCACACCAGCUUUCAUUUCCGCUCAGGUAGCUUCUAAUUAGUGGUUUCGGCUUCCAGGCUU